rfam:Schistosoma haematobium scaffold2287_7, whole genome shotgun sequence.
AUCUAGCUAAGGAGUCCCAGAUAUGACGAAAUGCGCAUCCUGGAU